rnacentral:RNase_P_RNA from 1 species
GGAGUGGCCCGGAUGGUCGCGGCAGUGGAGUUUACUCCCUGUCGAGGAAAGUCCGGGCUGCACAGGGCAGAACGCCGGAUAACGUCCGGCGGGGGUGACCCCGGGAACGUGCCACAGAAAACAGACCGCCACAGUUUGCCGAGAUGCACUGUGGUAAGGGUGAAACGGUGCGGUAAGAGCGCACCGCCCCGGCCGGUAACGGACGGGGGCACGGUAAACCCCGUUCGCAGCAAGGCCAAAUAGGGAAGCGCCAAGCGUGGCCCGCGUUUGCUUCCGGGUAGGCUGCUCGAGCCUGUCAGUAAUGGCAGGCCCAGAUGAAUGACCAUCACCCUGCCUGGCAGGGGACAGAACCCGGCUUACAGGGCCACUCCGUAU